rnacentral:rRNA from 1 species
CCUUCCCGACCCCGGUAGUUAAGCUUCUCUGCGCCAAUGGUAGUUGGGGGCUUCCCCCUGCGAGAGUAGGUCGCUGCCGGGC